GAUUUGCACGGUUGCAGCAACAAUGCACCCGGUAAAAUCAGUUUAAAGCAGGCAGGGUUUCUUUGGCUCACAGACCCAGGCCUUGUAUAUGAAGCGUCCUCCCCUUCCCCAGGGCUUAAGUCCUAAAACCAGUGCUCCGUGCUGAAGGAUUCCAUGAAUCCCGGUUGGAUUUGGAAGCUUUGAGUGACCCAGACACAUGUUCCUCUUCCUCCUGCUCACAGAAAAGUCCAGCUUGGCAUCAAGCACCGAGAAAAGACGUUAAAACAAACCACGUGUCCCCUUCCUUCCUGGCCACAAUCUGCCUGAUGGCUGUCAAACCUUCCAGGAUACUCAACGGCUGGCGCUUGCCUGCUGGGUUGCUGUCUUCCUCCUUCGCUUAUGCUUCCUGCCAGGCUCCUAAGAAAUCUAGUGUCCAUGUCUGAGCUCAUUCCACCACGGGGCUCCUUUGACCAGCACCUGUUGAUGGCGUUUAUUUUGAACAGAUCUUGGUUUUUAAAGUCCCAGAUUCUGAGACUUCUUCACUCGCUGAUAGAUGCUCCUGACACCAUGCCUGCAGCUUGAGCCUGUGCCUCCCUGCUCUGAUGGACUCAUCCCUCUGGAAGUGUAAGCCCGGCCGAAUUCGAGGACUAAAAGUCUGAGGGGUUGAACUGUGUCACCAGCCAGAUCCAGCCACAGAAUAGUUGUGGGAAGCUUUGACUCAAAGCAGCAAUGGGAACAUUGUUUGCAAAGUGCAAACUCAGGACUGAGGGAAUGGCUCCGUUGGCAAAGUGCCCGCCUUGCAAGCUUAGAGGACCUGUGUUCAGUCCCCGGCUCCACACAAGAAGCUGUACUGUGGAGAUGAAGGCAGGAGGGCCUCUUGAAAUUUGCUGGCCAGCCAGCCUAUCUAUUCAUCCUGGUGGGUGACUCAAAAAAAGAGUGGCUCCUGAGUGAUG
rnacentral:lncRNA from 1 species